GUAGGUGGCAAGCGUUGUCCGGAAUUAUUGGGCGUAAAGCGCGCGCAGGCGGUUCUUUAAGUCUGAUGUGAAAGCCCACGGCUCAACCGUGGAGGGUCAUUGGAAACUGGAGAACUUGAGUACAGAAGAGGAAAGCGGAAUUCCACGUGUAGCGGUGAAAUGCGUAGAGAUGUGGAGGAACACCAGUGGCGAAGGCGGCUUUCUGGUCUGUAACUGACGCUGAGGCGCGAAAGCGUGGGGAGCAAACAGGAUUAGAUACCCUGGUAGUCCACGCCGUAAACGAUGAGUGCUAAGUGUUAGGGGGUUUCCGCCCCUUAGUGCUGCAGCUAACGCAUUAAGCACUCGGCCUGGGAUACGGCGCAAGGCUG
rnacentral:rRNA from 1 species